AGAAAGAGUUAGAAAACAAAUAAAAUUUGGGAAAAAAGGUAAAUUUUAUUAUUAUUAAAAAUACAUUAUAAAUAUAAAAAAAUAAAGAUAGAAUUAGAUUUAUUGUAUUUUGUUUAGAAUCUUUUUAAUAUGAGUAACAAGCAAGUAAAAACACAAUUUAGAAGCCGAAUAAAAUCAGGAAAAAACAAGGUAAAUUAUUAUUAUUAAAAAUGUAUUAUAAAAAAAAAUUUAAAGAUAUAUAUGUAGAAUUAGAUUUAUUAUAUUUUGUGUGGAUUUUUUUUAAUAUGUAUUAAAAAAAAAAAAAAAAAAAAAAAAGACAUGCUCAAAUUAGGAUAACUAUUCAUGCCAUCUAAAGUGAAGGGUAGAAAGGUCAAUUGACUGGCAAAUAGUGGUAGUUGAAAGGUUCGUGUUCAAUCCCGAUUGGUAGAACAGUAAAUUUCUGCGAAGUUUGUGGCAAUCCUUGAACACCACGCUUGAACCCCCUAUAUAUAGACAUCCGCUCCGCCUUACGAGUAUUGCAACACAAUCUCACCCAGUUUUCUGUCGCUUAACAGAGACGCAGAUUAUUUCUCGCCCCUCGCCCUUUCUCUCUCCUCUUUCUCUCUCUAUAUAUCUGGUGGUUCUACCAUCUCUGAUAUUGGUCGAAAAGGUCCAAUCUAGGGUUUUUUUCGGUUCGUUGCUCUGCUACCUGGCUUCAUUGAUCGAAGGUUCAAAAAGGGACCAAGAACAGUUUUUAUCUCAGAGAUUUAGUAUUGUAUAUCAAGAAUUUAUAUCU